GAUGAAGAACGUAGCGAAAUGCGAUAAGUAGUGUGAAUUGCAGAAUUCAGUGAAUCAUCGAAUCUUUGAACGCACAUUGCGCCCGCCAGUAUUCUGGCGGGCAUGCCUGUUCGAGCGUCAUUUCAACCAUCAAGCCCCAGGCUUGUGUUGGGGACCUGCGGCUGCCGCAGGCCCUGAAAACCAGUGGCGGGAUCGCUGUCACACCGGGCGUAGUAGAUUUUAUCUCGCUCAGGGCGUGCUGCGGGUUCCGGCCGUUAAAAAGCCUUUUUUACCCAAGGUUGACCUCGGAUCAGGUAGGAAGACCCGCUGAACUUAAGCAUAUCAAUAAGCGGAGGA
rnacentral:misc_RNA from 1 species